rnacentral:rRNA from 1 species
CACGGGGGGAGCAAGCGUUGCUCGGAAUCACUGGGCGUAAAGCGCACGUAGGCGGAUUGCUAAGUCAGGGGUGAAAUCCUGGAGCUCAACUCCAGAACUGCCUUUGAUACUGGCGAUCUUGAGUCCGGGAGAGGUGAGUGGAACUGCGAGUGUAGAGGUGAAAUUCGUAGAUAUUCGCAAGAACACCAGUGGCGAAGGCGGCUCACUGGCCCGGUACUGACGCUGAGGUGCGAAAGCGUGGGGAGCAAACAGG